rnacentral:rRNA from 1 species
CCUACGGGGUGCUGCAGUGGGGAAUAUUGGACAAUGGGCGAAAACCUGAUCCAGCCAUGCCGCGUGUGUGAAGAAGGCCUUCGGGUUGUAAAGCACUUUCAGUGGGGAAGAAAGCCUUGGGGCUAAUACCCUCGAGGAAGGACAUCACCCACAGAAGAAGCACCGGCUAACUCCGUGCCAGCAGCCGCGGUAAUACGGAGGGUGCGAGCGUUAAUCGGAAUUACUGGGCGUAAAGCGCGCGUAGGCGGUCUGAUAAGCCGGUUGUGAAAGCCCCGGGCUCAACCUGGGAACGGCAUCCGGAACUGUCAGGCUAGAGUGCAGGAGAGGAAGGUAGAAUUCCCGGUGUAGCGGUGAAAUGCGUAGAGAUCGGGAGGAAUACCAGUGGCGAAGGCGGCCUUCUGGACUGACACUGACGCUGAGGUGCGAAAGCGUGGGUAGCAAACAGGAUUAGAUACCCGAGUAGUC